rnacentral:misc_RNA from 1 species
AUAAGACUCAUCUGUUUUUGCGCUUGAAAAGCUCCAUCAAGUUAUCAAUCUGGCCUUGAAAGAUUCCUCGCUUGUUUCUUCUAUAAAUACAUCCUAAUCCUAUAACUUCAUAGUCUUUUCCUCUGCCUUUCUCCAUUGCCUUUUCUAUAUCUUCCCCUGUUUCUGUUUCUGAGUUUCUUAGAAACGUCUCUAAAAUGGAAAACGGUGAACACAAGUUCAAAACCCAAAAAACGUUCAUUGCAUUUCAGUUUUGCCUGAGAAUUUUCGCAAUUACAGCCACAUUGGCCACUGCUUGGCUCACGCUUACUAACAAGGAAUCCACUCAACUUGGUAUCUUUGUCAUAGAUGCUCGAUAUAGCUACUCCUCAGCUUUCA